rnacentral:tRNA from 1 species
UGGAUAGAGUACUGCCCUCCGAAGGCAGGGGUUGCUGGUUCGAUCCCAGCCGGGCGCGCCA